UUCGCCCUUCGGUGUGUACAAGGCCCGGGAACGUAUUCACCGCAGCGUUGCUGAUCUGCGAUUACUAGCGACUCCGACUUCAUGGGGUCGAGUUGCAGACCCCAAUCCGAACUGAGACCGGCUUUUUGGGAUUCGCUCCACCUCGCGGUAUCGCAGCCCUUUGUACCGGCCAUUGUAGCAUGCGUGAAGCCCAAGACAUAAGGGGCAUGAUGAUUUGACGUCAUCCCCACCUUCCUCCGAGUUGACCCCGGCAGUCUCCCAUGAGUCCCCGGCAUAACCCGCUGGCAACAUGGGACGAGGGUUGCGCUCGUUGCGGGACUUAACCCAACAUCUCACGACACGAGCUGACGACAACCAUGCACCACCUGUACACNGACCNUGCGGGGAGCACAUNUCUGNA
rnacentral:rRNA from 1 species